UACGGGGGGGGCAAGCGUUGUUCGGAAUUACUGGGCGUAAAGGGCUCGUAGGCGGCCAACUAAGUCACACGUGAAAUCCCCAGGCUUAACCUGGGAACUGCGUGUGAUACUGGAUGGCUUGAAUUCGGGAGAGGGAUGCAGAAUUCCAGGUGUAGCGGUGAAAUGCGUAGAUAUCUGGAGGGAUACCGGUGGCGAAGGCGGCAUCCUGGACCGACAUUGACGCUGAUGAGCGAAAGCUAGGGGAGCAAACGGG
rnacentral:rRNA from 1 species